GGCACGAUGGCCGAGUGGUUAAGGCGUGAGACUUGAAUUUUCAAUAUCUCAUCCCGUUUCGGGACGUAGGUUCGAACCCUGCUCGUGUCG
rfam:Schizophyllum commune H4-8 unplaced genomic scaffold SCHCOscaffold_1, whole genome shotgun sequence.